GCGCCCAUAGCUCAGCUGGAUAGAGCGUCGGACUUCGAAUCCGGUGGUCGGGUGUUCGAAUCACUCUGGGCGCG
rnacentral:tRNA from 1 species